GGAGUCGGCCAGGCAAUCGCUGCUCUGCUUUGCAGGGGGGAGGAAAGUCCGGGCUCCAUAGGGCAGGGUGCCAGGUAACGCCUGGGGAGCGUAAGCUCACGACUAGUGCAACAGAGAGCAAACCGCCGAUGGCUCGUAAGAGCACAGGUAAGGGUGAAAGGGUGCGGUAAGAGCGCACCGCGCGGCUGGCAACAGUUCGCGGCACGGUAAACUCCACCCGGAGCAAGGCCAAAUAGGCCCCUGCGGACGCGGCCCGCGUUUGGGGGCGGGUAGGCUGCUUGAGCCAGCGGGCGACCGCUGGCCUAGACGAAUGAUUGUCCACGACAGAACCCGGCUUAUGGCCGACUCCCACU
rnacentral:RNase_P_RNA from 1 species